GAUGAACGCUAGCGGCAGGCUUAACACAUGCAAGUCGAGGGGCAGCGGGGUGUAGCAAUACAUCGCCGGCGACCGGCGCACGGGUGCGUAACACGUAUGGAAUCUGCCCUUUACUGGGGAAUAGCCCGGAGAAAUCCGGAUUAAUGCCCCAUAACAAGCGAGGUGGCAUCACCUUGCUUUGAAAGCUCCGGCGGUAAAGGAUGACCAUGCGCACGAUUAGCUAGUUGGUGAGGUAACGGCUCACCAAGGCUACGAUCGUUAGGGGGCCUGAGAGGGCUAUCCCCCACACUGGUACUGAGACACGGACCAGACUCCUACGGGAGGCAGCAGUGAGGAAUAUUGCGCAAUGGAGGCAACUCUGACGCAGCCAUGCCGCGUGCAGGAAGAAGGCGCUACGCGUUGUAAACUGCUUUUAUCCGGGAAGAAACCCUCCGACGUGUCGGAGGUUGACGGUACCGGAGGAAUAAGCACCGGCUAACUUCGUG
rnacentral:rRNA from 1 species